rnacentral:tRNA from 1 species
GAGAAGAAAGCAUCAGUAUGCGGUUGACUUGAAAUCGACAGAUGGCAGUUAAAGUCUGCCUUUUCUC